rnacentral:sRNA from 2 species
GCUCUGCCACUGCUCAAGUCCCGUUCGCAAAACAUCGUCUGGCAGAGGCGGGGGACCCACUUCCGGUCACCAUCACGGUGGCCUUGGGGUUAAGUCGCAGAUCAUUUCCGUAAGGAAAUACCCUGCGGCCGGAUGACUCCCAUCCGAAUCCGACAGCUUACCUCGCGGGCAUAGGGAGAGGCUUC